rnacentral:rRNA from 1 species
GAAUAUUGCACAAUGGGGGCAACCCUGAUGCAGCAACGCCGCGUGAACGAUGAAGGCCUUCGGGUUGUAAAGUUCUUUUCUGAGGGAAGAUAGUGACGGUACCUCAGGAAUAAGUCCCGGCUAACUACGUGCCAGCAGCCGCGGUAAAACGUAGGGGGCGAGCGUUAUCCGGAUUUAUUGGGCGUAAAGCGCACGUAGGUGGCGCUGUAAGUUGGACGUGAAAGCUCCUGGCUCAACCGGGAGAGGUCGUUCAAAACUGCAGUGCUUGAGGUUGGAAGAGGAGAGUGGAAUUCCCGGUGUAGUGGUGGAAUGCGUAGAUAUCGGGAGGAACAUCAGUGGCGAAGGCGGCUCUCUGGUCCACACCUAACACUGAGGUGCGAAAGCGUGGGGAGCGAACGGG